AGGGUUUGAUUCUGGCUCAGGAUGAACGCCGGCGGUGUGCCUAAUACAUGCAAGUCGAACGCGUUGGUCCAAUUGAUUGAUGGUGCUUGCACCUGAUUGAUUUUGGUCGCCAACGAGUGGCGGACGGGUGAGUAACACGUAGGUAACCUGCCCAGAAGCGGGGGACAACAUUUGGAAACAGAUGCUAAUACCGCAUAACAACGUUGUUCGCAUGAACAACGCUUAAAAGAUGGCUUCUCGCUAUCACUUCUGGAUGGACCUGCGGUGCAUUAGCUUGUUGGUGGGGUAAUGGCCUACCAAGGCGAUGAUGCAUAGCCGAGUUGAGAGACUGAUCGGCCACAAUGGGACUGAGACACGGCCCAU
rnacentral:rRNA from 1 species